UCCGGUUUGUCACCGGCAGUCUGGCGUGAGUCCCCAACUUAAUGCUGGCAACACGCCACGGGGGUUGCGCUCGUUGCGGGACUUAACCCAACACCUCACGGCACGAGCUGACGACAGCCAUGCAGCACCUGAGUCGGCUUCCCCUUGCGGGGCUCAUCCCCCUUUCAGGUUUUUACUACCGACUUGUCCAGCCUGGGUAAGGUUCUUCGCGUUGCGUCGAAUUGAACCACAUGCUCCACCGCUUGUGCGGGCCCCCGUCAAUUCCUUUGAGUUUCAUUCUUGCGAACGUACUCCCCAGGUGGGUUACUUAUCACUUUCGCUUAGCCACUCAGUCUUACGACCAAACAGCUAGUAACCAUCGUUUACGGCGUAGACUAC
rnacentral:misc_RNA from 1 species